ACAAGGGGUGGACUCCGAGGCGUGGAGACCGUUGGGCUGGAGCAGGGCUGUGGGCAGGUGGUGGAAGGUGGCGGCCCAGUGAUGCGGGUGGAGGGGGUGAUGGUGGUGGGCCAUGGAGGAUGUCAUAGCCGCCGCCUCCCGCUGGGAGGCGCAAGUGCUGAGAUGAGACACAAGCCGCACCCGCAGCGGAUCUGAGGAGUCCAGGCCUUCCACGGAGCUCAGAUGAUAAAACUGGAGCUCCAGGGGUCAGUAAUUUACCCAAAGUCACAGAGCUAAUCAAUGGCAGAACCAGGAUUUGAAAUCACGCAAUCCAGCUACAGAUGCGACGCCCUUCACCACUGUACUAUGAGGCAGCUGGAAGUCUUUUCCAGUGCUAGCCCAAACCACCAGCUCCCUUCUUGAAGGCCAUUGUCCAGUGCAAUGACAUCUUCAGUGACCUGACAGUCAGGCAGCGUGUAUAGCACCUACUUGGAAAUGUCUGUUCACAAACUAUUCUGGGACAAAUUUUAGGACUGUCCAGGUAGCCAAGAAUAGCAACCAAGAUGGAACUUAGUUUUUAUAAUAAAGCCUAAGAACAAUAUUACUUUUUACAAGUACUGCUCCUGCCAAAUAUUUGAAACCCUGAUAAGAAAACUUAGACUUGUGGCUAACAAUCAUAAGGGAAAUAAAGCAAUCAAACAAAUUUUCUUGCAGCAUGACUAAUUCAAUCAGUCUCUUAACAUCCUGAGGUAACAGUUGUAGAGACAGGAUCAUGGGGCUGCAGGGGGCUUUGGCGCUUAUUCUGCUAGUGUAGCCCUCAAAGUACAGCAGACUACUUUUUUCUUAGGUCAAAGGCACAGCAACAGUCAACCUAGAUGGGAUCAUUGGCUUUGGUGAUUUAAUCAAAUUAUCUUGUCUAUUAUGUAAGAAUGUUUGCAUCUCAGGCCACUGUAUCUCACUCAGGAUGGUUCCUUGAAAAGGUACAAUCUGGGAUUCCAGCAUGCGCUUCUUAAGUCCUAAACAAAUCUCGGACCAGGCUGCUCUGAAUGAAGCUUUACUCCCACAGUAUUAUGAAAGCAAACACAAGCCCAGGGUCAAGUGCUUCUUUUGUUCCAGAAGUUCUUUCCCACGAGUUCAAUCCUGCCAUUAGCAUUGAUUUCCACGGCUUUAAUCUGGGGCCGCCUAUCCCAGCUUGUUAAAGAACUGUUCAACUAUGACUUCCUUACAAUAUUAGGGGAAUAACAUGAAAAGAGAAAGGUAAAAAAGGCGAAAAAAAAUGAAGUCAUCUACUUACCUUUACCCCCUGUUGCCUGAAGCAUCUUCAAAUGAUCCACUGUCAUUUGCAAUAUUUCAGCUUUUUCUAACUUUGCAGAUCCCUUCAUAAAUAAAUAUUAUCAUAUAUUAAUUAUACUAAUAUACUAAUUUGAAACAUUAUACACUGAAUUUAGCAUUAUGGCUUCUCACUAAACAAUUCCAAGUUUUAUUUUUUCACAGAAAACUUUGAAUUCUUUCCAAACUUUACAUGAAAGCACUAAUUAAUGUCAUACCUAAUGACAGGUAUUUGCCAUUUUAACUUUUAGAGACUAAAAGAAAGUAGAAUGACUUUUAAAAAUCACAAGAAUAAUUAUUCUCCUAAGAUUACCACAGCAAAACUAUUUCAAUUGCAAAAAUCUCAAACUUUGCAUUCAAUCUGUAUCUUGAUUAAUAAUAAUAUGUUUUAUUACGGGGCAUGGAUAGUCUUCUGUAAAGCCAAAGUCUAGAGGAGUUGAAUAACAACUCAAGAAGAUAAGGAGAUAGGAUUUUAGCGAUUUAUUGUUAAACUUUUUAAAAAUAGAAAAUUCUAAUAAGCCUUCUCACAGGCCUACUAAAUUCUGAAAUAAGGAAUUCACACUAGAACAAUAUAAUUGGAUCUGCAUUUCCAGCAGAUCCAAAAAUUUUAAAAGGGGAAGAUUUUUAAGGUUUUUCUCCAAUAAUUACCAGCAGGUGUCACUGUGAAUUUCUAAGCUCACAAACAAGAAGCAAUAAUUUACUGUUUACCUAGGAAGCAUGUUAAAUGCUUAAGGAUUUUUGAACUUUUUAAAAUAGUUCAUAAUAAAAUUGUCUUGCAAAUAUAUUUUUAUGUCGCUGCUUUUCAAAAUAAGGAAACCUCUGGUAACCAAUUGAAAUAGAAAUGUGCCAUUUCAAACUGUCUGGGGAGGGGGGCUGUGGGUGGCUUCUUAUUUCCUGGAAGAGCUAAAUAAUUAUACCAAUAUGUUCUCAUUUUUUUUCUUUUUAAGGAUACUAAGGUUUAUUUCAGGUCCCUGUGCUUUACUAGUUCUGUGAAAAUUAUCAGCACCACAUACAGUGAGAGUGCCAGAGUUAUUUAACUGCUCUAAAGAACACUCCUCAAAUCAUAUUGUGACAGGGCCAACACACUAGGGUUGGUAGCCAGGUUCUGCAAAUGGGAGCGCUUGUGUUUAUGGUAACUAAGUGCCAAACAACUGAGGUUUGCUUUUAAGGUUUAAGUCAAUAUUUAAGAAAAAAAAAUCUAACAAACCAAGAAAAGAAAAAUAUCAAACAGACUUCUCCUCAUUCUGCAGACCUUUCAGUACUCCAAAUUUUAAUAACAUCAUUGAUUACUGGCAUUUUCACUUGAAGCGGAUUGGCACUGAAAAUGCCACUAUAUCAAAACUACAAUUUCCACGUUAUUUUUAGUUGAUCAAAGACAGUCUCUGCAUAUAGAUUGGGUGUCUUUUUUGUCUUAAAAAAUGUAUAACCAGUAGCAUAUUAUGUUUUGUACUUUGUCAGUGUUUAACUUUUCCAUGACAAUGGUCCCAAGUAGAUUCAGUAAAGUCAUAAUUGAAACUGCAGUUUCUGGAUAAUUUCCAAGGACUUUGUAGGGCUUGUUUUAUAAUGUUUGCAGAUUCAUGAAGUAAACAAACAAAAUGGAAUAAACAAACAACUGCUGUCUUAUACCCUACUGGAAUUAAAUUGAAAGUAUUUUCAACAAGGUCAUGCUGCUAUGUCCUUUGAAAGAUGCUCUUAGAAAUCUGUCAUUAGCCAUUGUGGCAGGGGGAGAGCCAUGACUUUUCUAAAACCACAAAAGAAGAUUUAAACAUUUGGCUUUCUACUUUUCUAAGUGUGCAAAAUCUUUUCCUUUCUUUUUUUUUGGUAAAGGAAUACUUGAACUAUGAAAAGGGGCAUUUAUGACUAAUUCCGUUUUUACUAAACUUCUAGAAAGAUGCCCCAAAUCAAACAGCGUUCUACCAACCAAGGGAUUAAAAAUGAAAACAAAUAGCUUGAUAAAUAAAUUUUGUAUUAUUAUUUAGGAAAUAGAGCUAGAGAUAUUACUUCUUGGGCUCUGAUUAUUUUCUAAUUAAAAAGAUUACUUUUUAGAAACAUUUUGAGAAAAAAAAGAUGUUUCAUUAUUUUUUUUUGAAGAACAGCACAGUUUUAAAUAAAACCACUACUGGUAUUCAUAGAAGGAACAGAGAAAGCAUGAACACUGUUACCCUUAAGGGGAAAAUAAGCUAAAGAAUGGAAAUGUUUUUCAAGUUCAUGAUGGAUUAUGUUUUUAAUAGUUUUGCCACAACAAAGCAUUUUAUUGAAAUAGCUGCUCUGUGCCAGAUCAGGGCACAUACACCAUUAUUUUAACGAGCUUUAACAAGAACCCACAUUCCCAGAUGAGCGAAUCAAAUUGUUUGAGCUUUUUUGGAGAGGGCUUGGGGGAGUUCGUGGAGGGGCUAGCUUACUUGUUUUUCAAAAGCAGUUGGCACAAGUCUUCUCAACUCAGAUAAACUGUUAUUUAUUCGAUCCCGACGCCUUUUCUCUAUAAUCUAUCCAAAAGAAGCAAAUAACAAAAGUUUAUGAAUUCACAAAUGAUAAAAUUACUCAAAUGGAAAAAUAUAACUGUUAAACACUAGUAUGAGUUACAUGAAAUAAAAAGGAGGAAAAAUCA